rnacentral:lncRNA from 1 species
AAAACUGUUUGUCGUAGAAACUUGUUUUUAUUUACUGAACACAUUUAAACUACCUUACAUUCAAGUUAUAUAUUUUUCUUUUUUUUAGUUUUAAAUAAUCGAACAUAAAUUAUGUAAGUAAAGUAUUCCUUUUAAUAAUAUUUUCAAUAUCAUUUUAUCAUAAAAGCAUAUGUACUAAUAUAAUAUUAUACAUUUCAAUAAAGAGGUGUUGUUGGAAUUGACUUUUUAAUGUUGAUUUAGUACAUUAAGCACCUGUUUCACAAUAUAAUUCAUGAAUAAGUAUCAUUAAUGAAAUAUUCAUUCUGCAAUGCAAAAAAUCAUAUUUUUGAGUAUUUUUUGUAUUAUAUAGCAUUUAUUAUUAUCAACAUAAUUAAGUAAUAAAAUUAUCUUUAAUGUAAGAUUAUCCAUGGAUUCAAAAUGUUUAAAAAAUAAUACAAUAAAUCACUACUUUCAUUACUGAAUAUAAAUUUCACAUGAUCGAAGAAUACAAAAGGAGAAAGAUUGUGGAAAGUAAAAAUUCUUAGAAUAAAUAAUAAUAUAAUUUUUUAUGAAAGUUUAAGUAACAACUUUUUAAAAUAAUGCACAAUAUUUAAAAAAAGAAAAGAAAAAAACUUAUAUUUUUGAACUUAUAUACUAAAAAUUUAAUAAAAAUUUAUUAUCAUUGAGUUUAUAUUAAAGAGUUAAUAAAAUUUGAAUUAUUUCGGAAAAUAAUUAUAAAUCAGUAAAAAAGAUUCUCUUAUUUUUUUGAGAAUUUAUUUC